rnacentral:rRNA from 1 species
GAUGAACGCUAGCGGCAGGCUUAACACAUGCAAGUCGAGGGGUAUAGUUCUUCGGAACUAGAGACCGGCGCACGGGUGCGUAACGCGUAUGCAAUCUACCUUUUGCAGAGGGAUAGCCCCAGAGAAAUUUGGAUUAAUACCUCAUAGUAUAGCAGUUUCGCAUGAAACCACUAUUAAAGUCACAACGGCAAAAGAUGAGCAUGCGUCCCAUUAGCUAGUUGGUAAGGUAACGGCUUACCAAGGCUACGAUGGGUAGGGGUCCUGAGAGGGAGAUCCCCCACACUGGUACUGAGACACGGACCAGACUCCUACGGGAGGCAGCAGUGAGAAUAUUGGACAAUGGGCGCAAGCCUGAUCCAGCCAUGCCCGNGUCGCAGGAUGACGGUCCUAUGGAUUGUAAACUGCUUUGUACAGGAGAAACACUCCGACGUGUCGGAGCUUGAC